rnacentral:lncRNA from 1 species
CUUUGAAUACAUAUCCUUAUGUUCAUUAGGAAUGAUAUUUCUACCAUGGACCACCAUGUGAAGGAGAAUUAAAAUAUCCUCUUUAAUUCUGAUCCAUUACUGAUUAUGUUUUAGCUCCCUUUUGAAAUAAUUUGUAGGCACUGUCUUUCAACAAACCAGCCAAGACUGAUACAGAGAUUCUAUUUUCUUCAAUCCCUAUGAUCCUUUAGAUCUCCCAUUCAUUAAAAAGGAUGGAAAAGGCAAAGGAAAACACUUCCACUGGCCUUGGAUAUAGCACGGAGGAAGGCUUGGAGGUUAGGUCAGAAGGAUUUGGUAGAAGGCGGAUUAACUAAGGAAAAAGGAAAACAUAAUAAAGAAGCAGAUAUUCCCACUAGAC